rnacentral:rRNA from 1 species
GUGCCAGCAGCCGCGGUACUACCGGCAGCACGAGUGAUGGCCGAUCUUAUUGGGCCUAAAGCGUCCGUAGCUGGCUACGCAAGUCCGUCGGGAAAUCCACUCGAGCAACGAGUGGGCGUCCGACGGAAACUGCAUAGCUUGGGACCGGAAGGCUCGAAGGGUACGUUCGGGGUAGCAGUGAAAUCCCAUAAUCCCGCACGGACCACCGAUGGCGAAAGCACUUCGAGAAAACGGAUCCGACAGUGAGGGACGAAAGCCAGGGUCUCCAACCGGAUUAGAUACCCGAGUAGUCC